rnacentral:rRNA from 1 species
AGUGAACGCUGGCGGUAGGCCUAACACAUGCAAGUCGAACGGCAGCACAGUAAGAGCUUGCUCUUACGGGUGGCGAGUGGCGGACGGGUGAGGAAUACAUCGGAAUCUACUUUUUCGUGGGGGAUAACGUAGGGAAACUUACGCUAAUACCGCAUACGACCUACGGGUGAAAGCAGGGGAUCUUCGGACCUUGCGCGAUUGAAUGAGCCGAUGUCGGAUUAGCUAGUUGGUGGGGUAAAGGCCCAACAAGGCGACGAUCCGUAGCUGGUCUGAGAGGAUGAUCAGCCACACUGUCACUGAGACACGGUCCAGACUCCUACGGGUGGCAGCAGUUGGGAAUAUUGGGCCACGGGCGCAAGCCUGGUCCUGCCAUACCUCGUGUGUGGCGAAUGCCUUCGGGUUUUAAAGCCCUUUUGUUGGGAAAGAAAAGCAGCAGGUUAAUACCCCGAUGGUCUUACGGUACCCAAAGAAUAAGCACCGGCUCACUUCGUG